GCACCCUGCACGCCGCGGGCGGCCGGGGUGGUCCGAGGUCACCGCGCCUCGCGGCCGCUCUCGUCCCCACGCGCGCAACCUCCGGCCACCGGAGCGUCGCCGGUAGCCCGGGAGCGAAUGACCAGGCGUCCUGAAGGACACCCAGGGGAGCCGGGGCGUCCGCGAGCGACGCGACAGAUGGAGGUAGAAAUAAGUGGUACAUGGAGACCGAGCAACUCAGACGUGCAGAUUGCGAGGAAGCAUCUCGAAACCGGGGCCCCGGGGCGGCCUCCGAGAGCCGCCACCUGCCCGGCCCCGCGGACGCCGUCAGGAUCGCCGAAGUCGCAGGCCCUGGUCUCGCGUCCCCGAUCUGCCUUGUGAAUUUCCUUGCUUUUAGGGUCCAAGAAACUGGAGAUCGGGGUCCUGGACUCAGCGCCCUGGCCACUUCUGGCAUAACCGUGGACUCUCCGGGCUUGUUGAGGGUCCUCACCUGCAAAUUACUACCCCCCAGACCUUGGGAGGAUUAG
rnacentral:lncRNA from 1 species